rnacentral:rRNA from 1 species
AUGAGCGCCGGAAGCGCCAGUUUCCUCGAGAUCCAGCCCUCGGAGCUGGCAUUUCCCUUUGAAUUGAUGAAGCAGAGCUCGUGCUCCAUGCAACUCACAAAUAAGACCGACCAUUAUGUAGCAUUCAAGGUCAAAACUACCAACCCAAAGCAGUACUGUGUGCGCCCUAAUAUUGGCGUUGUACUUCCUGGGUCGACUUGUGAUGUUACAGUUACAAUGCAAGCGCAGAGGGAAGCACCUCCUGAUCUGCAGUGUAAGGACAAGUUCCUAGUUCAAAGUGUUGCAGCUGAGAAUGGCGCAGAAACUCAAGAUAUUAGUGCAGCAAUGUUCAACAAAGAGCCAGGGAAGGUUGUUGAUGAAUGCAAGCUGCGUGUAAUUUAUGUGCCAACAUCUUCACCUAGCCCGUUCUCUGAAGAAUCAGAACAAGGGAGUUCUGCUCGUUCAUUGGAAAAUGGGACCCCUAAUUCUACAUUGCCACAAUCUGUAUUUAGAUCAUCUGGUGAAGCAUCAAAGGAGAAGUCCUCGGAGGCAACAUCCAUGAUUUCCAAGCUAACUGAGGAGAAAAUGUCUGCUGUUCAGCAAAACCAGAAGUUGAGACAAGAGCUGGAUGUCCUACGCAAAGAGAGCAGCAAAAGCAACGGCGGUUUCUCAAUCACCUUCUUGAUCGUGGUUGGUAUUCUGGGCAUCAUCGCUGGUUUCAUCCUCAAGAAGACAUAG